UCACGGAGGCCUCGAGCCCUCAGGUCACCGGAGGCCUCGAGCCUCAGGUCACGGAGGCCUCGAGCCCUCAGGUCACGGAGGCCUCGAGCCUCAGGUCACCGGAGAAAAGACGAGACCCAGGAGCGAUUUCUUGAAUCUGACAAGAUUGAGGCUCAGUUCAGAGCCCUGUCAAAUUCAGUCCCAUUUCUUUCUCUUGUAGCCACACGGGGUCGCUGCUGGUUAAGGAAAAGUAGCAAAUUGGGUGUUUUGGAAUCCUCCCUUGGCAUAGGUACUUUUCAGUAGAUGUCAAACAUGAUGUGGGGUGGCAAAUCACUUUUUUGGUAGAAACAGUUUAAGUUCUUGAGGAUGUUAUUUAAAUGAAUCCAUAGACAAGACAGCUCUAACCUGAAUAACCAAAUUCCUCUUUUUAAAAAAUUUCAAAAUUUUUUAUACCAGGGUGACUUGGUUAAGUUACUUACAAGUUAUUUUGAAAAUGUCUUUGUCCUUGGGAUCUGGAUUUUAAAAAAUCUGUUUAGUUACUUUUUAUGUCUGAUUUCUCUUCGAGCCCUCCCCGUUCCUGAAUUUUGCAGCUGUGGCAGUUGCAUAGCACUGUGGUACUUUGGACAACAGACCAGUGUUGUCAAAGCAGGUUCUGAGCUCUGAUCUGUUAAAAGUUGGGAAGUGUUUCUGUGUAUGAAUUCCUCAGUCCUUCAAUAAACUGCUAGAAGCAGCUCAAUCUCCCUCUGAAGAUUUUCUUAGUUCUGAUUUUGUGUUUGGUGAAUUAGCGGCAAGUCUGUUUGCAUAUUUGACUGUAUUUUGCCAUCUUGCCUGAAACUAAAGACUUUAAAGAGGCUGAUGAAAUAGCGAGCUUCCUGUCACCCAAGGUUACAUUCAACCUUUGUGUUUGCCUAAACAGAAAUGCCAUCUGUGGCUUUUUGAUAAAUUUUACAGUCAUCUUUUAUCCUUUUUAUUUUGAAAUAUUUCAACUCUGUUGAAAAAAUAAUGAAUGCCCACAUUGUUAAUAUUCUGCCUCAUUGUUUUUUUCUCUUAUUAUACAUAGGCAUUUUUUCUUGAAGUUAUAGGGUCAUGACUUUAAAUACUUCAUGUAUCUUCUAAGAACAAAGGCAUUCUCCUAUGAAACCUUUUUUCUGAGAUAAUUUUAUUUUUCCUUUUUAUAUUUUUAAACUUUUUUACAUAUAGAAAUCAAACAUACACAGAAAUACAGAGACUGGAAUGAUGAACCCCCGUUUAGUCACUGCCCAAUUUCAACAAUUAUCAACUAAUGUUAAUCUUAGUGCUUUUAUAUCCCCUCUACAUCUUGGAGCCAAAUACUUUUUUGUGAACAAAUUAUGAAGCUUUAUUGAAAGAUCGUGAGGAGAUGAUUUACUGUAUAUGACACUCUUGAUACCAAGUAAUCAUAACUACCAUGUAUGCCUGUUAUAUGAGAAUGCUGUCAACUAGGUCUGUACUAAGAACAGUGGUUCCCAAAUUCUAGUGCUCAGUUCAGUUGAAUUGCU
rnacentral:lncRNA from 1 species